rnacentral:lncRNA from 1 species
GCCCCAGGCUCUGAAGGAAAGGCACCCACUGGGACUUUAGAGCCGCCCCUCCUGUCCAGGCUGAGGAGACCAAUCUGGAAUCUCCAACUGCUGCCUCUCAGACAUGUAGAAGGUGAGGUCCCUCAAGGCAUCUUACACUCAGCAAAUCCAAAACCAAACUCAUUCUCUUUUCCUCCAAACCACUUGGAGGAAGGCACCACCAACCCCCCCACCCCACCCCGACAUCAGAGGGCAACACCAGCCCCACAAGACACCAGAGGAUACUGCACCACCAGCCCCCCAGGCACUGGAGGGCACCAUCAGCCCCCCAGGCACUGGAGGGCACCACCAGCCCCCCAAAACACCAGAGGGUACUGCACCACCAGCCCCCCAGGCACUGAAGGGCACCAUCAGCCCCCAAAACACCAGAGGGUACUGCACCACCAGCCCCCCAGGCACUGGAGGGCACCACCAGCCCCCCAAAACACCAGAGGGUACUGCACCACCAGCCCCAGAAAACACCAGAGGGUACUGCACCACCAGCCCCCCAGGCACUGGAGAGCACCACCAGCCCCCCAAGACACCAGAGGGUACCACACCACCAGCCCCCCAGGCACUGGAGAGCACCACCAGCCCCCCAAGACACCAGAGGGUACCGCACCACCAGCCCCCCAGGCACUGGAGAGCACCACCAGCCCCCCAAAACACCAGAGGGUACCGCACCACCAGCCCCCCAGGCACUGGAGAGCACCACCAGCCCCCCAAGACACCAGAGGGUACUGCACCACCAGCCCCACAGGCACUGGAGAGCACCACCAGCCCCCCAAAACACCAGAGGGUACCACACCACCAGCCCCCCAGGCACUGGAGGGCACCAUCAGCCCCCCAAAACACCAGAGGGCACCAUCAGCCCCCCAGGCACUGGAAGGCACCACCAGCCCCCAAGACACCAGAGGGUACCACCAGCCCCCCAAAAUACCAGAGGGUACUACACCACCAGCCCCCCAGGCACUGGAGAGCACCAUCAGCCCCCCAAAACACCAGAGGGCACCAUCAGCCCCCCAGGCACUGGAAGGCACCACCAGCCCCCAAGACACCAGAGGGUACCACCAGCCCCCCAAAAUACCAGAGGGUACUACACCACCAGCCCCCCAGGCACUGGAGAGCACCAUCAGCCCCCCAAGACACCAGAGGGUACCACACCACCAGCCCCCCAAAACACCAGAAGGCACCACCAGCCCCCCCCUAGGCACCAGAGGGCACCAACAGUCACCCCCAGCCACUGGAGAGCACCACCAGCCUAUACGAACAGAAAACCAUGCAAAGGAGAAAGCUUCAGGGCUGCAGUGGCUUCCGUAA